rnacentral:rRNA from 1 species
UGCAAGUCGAGCGCGCCUUUCGGGGUGAGCGGCGGACGGGUUAGUAACGCGUGGGAAUAUGCCCUUUGGUACGGAAUAGCCUCUGGAAACGGAGAGUAAUACCGUAUGAGCCCUUCGGGGGAAAGAUUUAUCGCCAAAGGAUUAGCCCGCGUUAGAUUAGGUAGUUGGUGGGGUAAUGGCCUACCAAGCCUACGAUCUAUAGCUGGUUUUAGAGGAUGAUCAGCAACACUGGGACUGAGACACGGCCCAGACUCCUACGGGAGGCAGCAGUGGGGAAUCUUGGACAAUGGGGGCAACCCUGAUCCAGCCAUGCCGCGUGAGUGAUGAAGGCCUUAGGGUCGUAAAGCUCUUUCGCCUGUGAAGAUAAUGACGGUAGCAGGUAAAGAAACCCCGGCUAACUCCGUGCCAGCAGCCGCGGUAAUACGGAGGGGGUUAGCGUUGUUCGGAAUUACUGGGCGUAAAGCGCACGUAGGCGGAUCGGAAAGUUGGGGGUGAAAUCCCGGGGCUCAACCCCGGAACGGCCUCCAAAACUAUCGGUCUAGAGUUCGAGAGAGGUGAGUGGAAUUCCGAGUGUAGAGG